rnacentral:rRNA from 1 species
AUGCAAGUCGAGCGGACAGAUGGGAGCUUGCUCCCUGAUGUUAGCGGCGGACGGGUGAGUAACACGUGGGUAACCUGCCUGUAAGACUGGGAUAACUCCGGGAAACCGGGGCUAAUACCGGAUGGUUGUUUGAACCGCAUGGUUCAGACAUAAAAGGUGGCUUCGGCUACCACUUACAGAUGGACCCGCGGCGCAUUAGCUAGUUGGUGAGGUAACGGCUCACCAAGGCGACGAUGCGUAGCCGACCUGAGAGGGUGAUCGGCCACACUGGGACUGAGACACGGCCCAGACUCCUACGGGAGGCAGCAGUAGGGAAUCUUCCGCAAUGGACGAAAGUCUGACGGAGCAACGCCGCGUGAGUGAUGAAGGUUUUCGGAUCGUAAAGCUCUGUUGUUAGGGAAGAACAAGUGCCGUUCAAAUAGGGCGGCACCUUGACGGUACCUAACCAGAAAGCCACGGCUAACUACGUGCCAGCAGCCGCGGUAAUACGUAGGUGGCAAGCGUUGUCCGGAAUUAUUGGGCGUAAAGGGCUCGCAGGCGGUUUCUUAAGUCUGAUGUGAAAGCCCCCGGCUCAACCGGGGAGGGUCAUUGGAAACUGGGGAACUUGAGUGCAGAAGAGGAGAGUGGAAUUCCACGUGUAGCGGUGAAAUGCGUAGAGAUGUGGAGGAACACCAGUGGCGAAGGCGACUCUCUGGUCUGUAACUGACGCUGAGGAGCGAAAGCGUGGGGAGCGAACAGGAUUAGAUACCCUGGUAGUCCACGCCGUAAACGAUGAGUGCUAAGUGUUAGGGGGUUUCCGCCCCUUAGUGCUGCAGCUAACGCAUUAAGCACUCCGCCUGGGGAGUACGGUCGCAAGACUGAAACUCAAAGGAAUUGACGGGGGCCCGCACAAGCGGUGGAGCAUGUGGUUUAAUUCGAAGCAACGCGAAGAACCUUACCAGGUCUUGACAUCCUCUGACAAUCCUAGAGAUAGGACGUCCCCUUCGGGGGCAGAGUGACAGGUGGUGCAUGGUUGUCGUCAGCUCGUGUCGUGAGAUGUUGGGUUAAGUCCCGCAACGAGCGCAACCCUUGAUCUUAGUUGCCAGCAUUCAGUUGGGCACUCUAAGGUGACUGCCGGUGACAACCGGAAGAAGGUGGGGAUGACGUCAAUCAUCAUGCCCCUU